CGCCAGCGAGGGAGCCCAGGGCGCAUCCAAGAGAUAGGAAGAAGUAGUUAAGAGAGGUGGCCAACGAAGACAGCACUUUCCCCUCCUUUCCCCGCUCCCUCCCGCCUUGCACAGCCUCAGGCCCGGGCAGGAAGCCGUCGCCGGGAGCUCCGCGCGCCUCCUCUCCCUCCCUCUCUCCCGCAGCCCUUCGCGUCCCCGGCUGAAGCCUCUCUCUCGGAAGCUUCCCGCCGGAUGGUGUCACCGCCAAAUGCGUCCGGCGAAAGGGAGGCGGCGGCUUCGGCGGCGGUUGUUGUGAGGCUGGAACCCGGAACUGCCUCGGCGGCCGACCAAACAAACCAACCUCAGGCUCGCUUGGCCCUUGGCGACGACGCCUCCUCGGCUGCUGAGCAUGAAGGGCCGGGCUGCGGACGACGGGGCGCCUCGCGGGGAGUGAACCACCGCCGGCGAGCCGCUAGCUGCGUUCCGGGCAGGAGAAGGAGAAGCCCCAUGAGGAAGCCGAGGCCGCGGUUCCAUCAACAAAGACACAAUGCUUGAGUCGUAUGUGACUCCUAUUCUAAUGAGCUAUGUGAAUCGCUACAUUAAGAACUUGAAACCUUCUGAUCUACAGCUAUCACUCUGGGGAGGAGAUGUCGUUCUUAGCAAGCUUGAGUUAAAACUUGAUGUACUUGAACAGGAUUCCUUGCAAGAAAAGGGAAAAGUUGACAGCUAUGGUGUAUACAGGGGAGAACCAUACCUGCACCUGUUGCUUGCUUUGGUACAGCAGUUCUAUUGCUGAAGAGGCAAGUUGCAAAUCCUCAGAUGUGGGAAUUGUUGCAUCAUAACACAGAAAUGUAGGGAUGACUGUUCAUGGUUCUCCUGCUAUGUGUGCAAAUCUUGAACAUUACGUCUUUCCUCUGGAGCAGUGUUAGAAACUGAUAUAUGAAAGCUAGAAGCUAAAUGGUAUCUUAAACCUAGGUUAUGGGCGCAACAAUGGAUUGUCUAGGCACACUUUUUUAUAACAAGAAUACAAAGCUGACAAUGAAUGAACUGAGGCUAAAAACGUAUGUUCAUUUUUCACAUGGUUUAGUCCUUAUCUGAAGCCUGCAAAAAACAAAGCCAUGCUUCCCCUGCCCGUCUCCCUAAUAGGGUCUAUCCUCCAGUAUUCGGAGAGUGGCUGGAAGUGGGGAGGAAAAAAACGGUCCUCCUUUUCUUCUACUCUGCAGACAAGCCCUGGAUUCUCCCUAUACCCCCUUUCCUUAAUAUAAAUAUAUCUUUUUUGGCACCACAAACAAUACAUAUUAAAAGCUUAUACAACUGAUGGCAAAGACACCCACCUUGAGUGUCCAGUUUGCAAACCUAAGACCUAUCAUAUUUUUCCAUGUAUAAGACGACCCCUAGAUCUAUCGAAAGCCUAGUGAGGAGGAAUUUCUCCUCCCACACCCUCAGCACCAACAGUGGCAGUUUAAAUCUGAAAUCUUGGGUGCAGUACUGCGCCCAGAGCUCAGAAAUUCCCUGUCGCAAAAUGUACCUAGAACAAUGGGAGUGUCGGACACUGCUCUGGAGAAUAAACUCUGUCAGUGGAUAUUACUUCUGCCUCACUGUGCAUUUUUAUAAUUGUCCUUUAUAAUAUAAAAACACUUGCUUUGGCAUACUUUCCUUGUACAUUUAUCUAAUUACUGUUAGGGUUUUUUUCCUGUUGCCAAGUGUUUUUUUCGAGAAUUAAUUUGAUUCACUGUUGUUGGUCAUGUGUUCUGUGUUUUAUGAUUUUUAGAAUUUUAUGAUUUUUAAUUAUUUUUUAAUACAGAACCAUGAUAGAUAGAUAAUUUAU